CUGGGGGAGGGGGGGUCCCUUGUCCUGGCCUGUGGGAUUGGGUUGAAACCGGCUCUCCGACAUCCUCUGAGGGGUCCCAGAUUGUAUUCAGUGCAGGCCAGGCCGAGGGACUCCACCGGUGCAUG
rnacentral:pre_miRNA from 1 species